CCUACGGGAUGCACCAGUGGGGAAUAUUGCACAAUGGGCGCAAGCCUGAUGCAGCCAUGCCGCGUGUAUGAAGAAGGCCUUCGGGUUGUAAAGUACUUUCAGCGGGGAGGAAGGUGUUGUGGUUAGUAACCGCAGCAAUUGACGUUACCCGCAGAAGAAGCACCGGCUAACUCCGUGCCAGCAGCCGCGGUAAUACGGAGGGGGCAAGCGUUAAUCGGAGUUACUGGGCGUAAAGCGCACGCAGGCGGUCUGUCAAGUCGGAUGUGAAAUCCCCGGGCUCAACCUGGGAACUGCAUUCGAAACUGGCAGGCUAGAGUCUUGUAGAGGGGGGUAGAAUUCCAGGUGUAGCAGUGAAAUGCGUAGAGAUCUGGAGGAAUACCGGUGGCGAAGGCGGCCCUCUGGACAAAGACUGACGCUCAGGUGCGAAAGCGUGGGGAGCAAACAGGAUUAGAUACCCCGGUAGUC
rnacentral:rRNA from 1 species